rnacentral:rRNA from 1 species
GGGUCAGUAGGUUGGUCGUGCCACCGGUACGUACUGGUCUCACUGAUUCCUCCUUCCUGAAUAACCGUAAUGCCAUUAAUUUGGUGUUGCGGGGAAACAGGACUGUUACUUUGAAAAAAUUGGAGUGUUUAAAGCAAGCUAACGCUUGAAUACAUUAGCAUGGAAUAAUGAAAUAGGACGAUCGAUCCUAUUUUGUUGGUUUCUAGGAUUGACGUA